GAGUUUGAUCCUGGCUCAGAUUGAACGCUGGCGGCAUGCUUUACACAUGCAAGUCGAACGGCAGCGCGGGCUUCGGCCUGGCGGCGAGUGGCGAACGGGUGAGUAAUACAUCGGAACGUACCUGGUAGUGGGGGAUAGCUCGGCGAAAGCCGGAUUAAUACCGCAUACGACCUCAGGGUGAAAGCGGGGGACCUUCGGGCCUCGCGCUAUCAGAGCGGCCGAUGGCAGAUUAGCUAGUUGGUGAGGUAAAGGCUUACCAAGGCGACGAUCUGUAGCUGGUCUGAGAGGACGACCAGCCACACUGGGACUGAGACACGGCCCAGACUCCUACGGGAGGCAGCAGUGGGGAAUUUUGGACAAUGGGCGCAAGCCUGAUCCAGCAAUGCCGCGUGUGUGAUGAAGGCCUUCGGGUUGUAAAGCACUUUUGUCAGGAACGAAAAGGUCCGUGCUAAUACCAUGGGCCG
rnacentral:rRNA from 1 species